rnacentral:rRNA from 1 species
AAAUGAAUUGACGGGGACCCGCACAAGCAGCGGAGCAUGUCGUUUAAUUCGAAGAUACUCGAAGAACCUUACCAAGGCUUGACAUCGGAUGCAUACCAUGGAAACAUGGGAAAGGAUAGCAAUAUUUCAUCCAGACAGAUGGUGCAUGGUUGUCGUCAGCUCGUGCCGUGAGGUGUUCGGUUAAGUCCGAUAACGAGCGCAACCCUUACCGGAAGUUACCAUCAUUUAGUUGGGGACUCUUUCGGGACUGCCGCAGAUAAUGUGGAGGAAGGUGGGGAUGACGUCAAAUCAUCAUGCCUCUUACGCCUUGGGCUACAAACGUGCUACAAUGGCAGCUACAAUGUGUCGCAAACCCGUGAGGGGGAGCUAAUCACAAAAAAGCUGUCUCAGUUCAGAUUGUGGGCUGCAACCCGCCCACAUGAAGUCGGAGUUGCUAGUAAUCGCGAAUCAGCAUGUCGCGGUGAAUGCGUUCCCGGGUCUUGUACACACCGCCCGU